GUCCACGCCGUAAACGAUGAUAACUAGUUGUUAGCGAUAUACAGUUAGCGACAAAGCGAAAGCAUUAAGUUAUCCACCUGGGGAGUACGAUGGCAACAUUGAAACUCAAAGGAAUUGACGGGGGCCCGCACAAGCGGAGGAACAUGUGGUUUAAUUCGAUGAUACGCGAGGAACCUUACCUGGGCUUGAAAGUUAGUGACGAAUGCUGAAAAGGUGUUUUCCCUUCGGGGCACGAAACUAGGUGCUGCAUGGUUGUCGU
rnacentral:rRNA from 1 species